GCCCCUGUGGCUCAGUAGCCUAGCCCUUUUAUAAUCUAAUAUUUAUCUAAUGUAAAAAGGGCUAAGGCCUCACCCCAAAACAGAACUUUCUUGUUUGGGAGCUCGACCUUUUUGACAUUAGGGGUCGAAAUGAGCAAUGGUAGAGCGUGCGAUUGGUAAUCGCAAGGUCGCGAGUUCAAUUCUCGCCGGGGGCU
rnacentral:tRNA from 1 species